UACGGAGGGGGCUAGCGUUGUUCGGAAUUAUUGGGCGUAAAGGGCGCGUAGGCGGCCGAAUAAGUCUGACGUGAAAUCCCCCGGCCCAACCGGGGAACUGCGUUUGAUACUGUUUGGCUCGAGUCCGGGAGAGGGUAGUGGAAUUCCCAGUGUAGCGGUGAAAUGCGUAGAUAUUCGCAAGAACACCAGUGGCGAAGGCGGCUCACUGGCCCGGUACUGACGCUGAGGUGCGAAAGCGUGGGGAGCAAACAGG
rnacentral:rRNA from 1 species